UUGCCUAAACCCGUGGAAGGUGAGAAAAUUCUACAAGGCUGAACAAGAGAGCCGAGUGCUCCUGUUAUGGUUGGAUAUGGAGAGAAGGGGACAGUUUGAAAAAGAAAUUUUAGCGUGAACUUCUGGGCAUACUUAAGGCCAGGACUUGGGACUAUGUCUCUCCAUUCUCUUCUAGCCUGUAGGAUUUCUGAAGAGAAAUCAGCUGUCAGUCUAACUGAGACCUUUGAAGAGUAUUUGAGAGGGGCCAGUGCUGUGGCGUAGCGGGUUACCGCCCUGACCUGAAGCGCCUGCAUCCCAUAUGGGUGCCGGUUCAAGACCCGGUUGCUCCAUUUCCAAUCCAGCAACUCUGCUAUGGCCUGGGAAGGCAGUAAAAGAUGGCCCAAGUCCUUGGGCCCCUGCGCCCACGUGGGAGACCCAGAAGAAGCUCCUGGCUCCUGGCUCCUGGCUUCGGAUAUGCGCAGCUCCGGCCAUUGUGGGCAAUUGGGAAGUGAACCAUCGGUUGGAAGACAUUCUCUCUCUCUCUAUGCCUCUCCUUCUCUCUCUGUGUAACUCUGACUUUCAAAUAAAUAAAUAAAUCUUUUUUUAAAAAAAAAGAGUAUUUGAGGAGUACUUCAUUAUGGUCCUUUAAACAAUUUGUGACACUCUGGGGUGUCACAGAAUUUUUUAAAAAAAUAUUUAUAUCUAUUUGAAAGGCAGAGUGACAGAGAUCUUCAAUCCACUGCUUCACUCUUCAAAUAACUGCUAAAGCCAGGGAUAGACCAUGCUGAAGCCAGGAUCCAGGAGCUCUGUCUGAAUUCCCUAUGUGGGUGGAGAGAACUCAAGUACUUGAGCCAUCAUCAGCUGCUUACCAGACACAUUAGCAGGGAGCUGGAUCGGAAGCAGGGUAGCAUGGACUAGAACCAGCACUCCAAUAUUGGAUGCAUGCACCUCAAGCAGCAGCUUAAACUACUACACCACAAUGCCCACCUCUAUUACAAUUUUUUAAAGAUUAUUUAUUUAUUUAUUUAUUUGACAGGUAGAGUUACAGACAGUGAGAGAGAGAGAGAGACAGCCCCCCAUUACAAUUUUAAAGAAUAAUACCCCUGAACUAUGUAACAGCCCUGAAGGAAGCUUAAUAAUGCUUGCAUAGGAAUUGUUUUGACAUACAUCUUUCUACCAAAGUAAAAACAGAGUAUCCAUUUUUCAAGUCAAACUCACUCUGGAAAUCACUCAUCAUUCCAAAGGGAGUGAAAUUUAAGAAUUCAGCCACCGUCCCUUCUACUACUAAGGAUAUUGGGGUGGGCACAGACAGAAAUAGAGACAGCAAUCAGACAGAUGAUGCCCAAGAAUGGAAAAAAAAAAAAAAAUAGAUCCAUACAAAUAGGAAGAGACAUGGUCUAGAGGCCAACAGUGUGUGGGGCUGUCAUCUUCCUUCAAUAUACUUGACAAGACCACAAAUGAAAUAAUUCGACAAUGAAGACUUUUUGAAAUUUCUAACAUACUCCAGCAUACAAGCCAAUCGUCAUGUUAGUGAAGGGCUGUUGGGAACAACAAAGGCAACACAGAUGAGAACAAGUAGGAUCUAGUUAACAAAGGAAAAGAAAUCCAAAUGAUACCAAAUUGGAGACAACUGGCUAACACACACUUGACUACUGGUUUGAAAGGAAGGAUUAUAAAUUUUGACAGGGAUAUUUGUUUGGUGCAGUGGUUGAGCAGCUGCUUACAACACCCACGUCCCUCAUCAGAAUUCCUGGGUUCCAGUCCUAGCUCUGCUCCCAAUUCCAGCUUGCUGCCAACGUGCACCCUGGGAAGCAACAGAAGAUGGCUCAAGGAGUUGGGUUUCUGCCACCUACAUUGGAGACCUGAAUUGAGUUCCUGGUUCCUGAUUUAAUCCUAGCUGUGGGAACCUGGACAGUGAACUGGUAAACAAGAGAUCUCUCUCUCUCCCCACACUUUCAAAUAAACAUUUUUUUUUAAUUUAUAAAGAGAAAUUUUGACAGAAACCUACAGAUUUUUAUUUAGGGCUUAAAGUACUGUAAACACUAUGUAGUUUCCCUUUAAAAGUAUAGUUUCAAUUAUUUCACCUGCCCCUUGAUUUUAUUCAGAGAGUUUGUUGAAGAGAGAGAAACAUCUCUAUGUAUCAAAAAUCCAAGUCAGGGAAAUCCUAACUGAUGGUUGCAAUUAAUAUUCUGAGACCCAAGGGUAUGGAACAGAUAAAUAAAGCCAUUUAGGUGAGCCUUGCUUCUGUAUGGGUUUACUCCCAAUAACACAGCUUGAAAUAAGAAGGCUAACCAGGGGGCCAGCACUGUGGCAUAGCAGGUAAAGUCUCCAUCUGCAGUGCUGGCA